GACGGAGGAUGCAAGUGUUAUCCGGAAUCACUGGGCGUAAAGCGUCUGUAGGUGGUUCGAAAAGUCCACUGUUAAAAAUUGAGGCUUAACUUCAAAGAUGCCGUGGAAACUUUCAAACUAGAGUAUGGUAGGGGUAGAGGGAAUUUCCAGUGGAGCGGUGAAAUGCGUAGAUAUUGGAAAGACCACCGAUGGCGAAGGCACUCUACUGGGCCACUACUGACACUGAGAGACGAAAGCUAGGGGAGCAAACAGG
rnacentral:rRNA from 1 species